GUUAAAACAACAGUUCUCAUAUGAUCACCGAAGUUAAGCAACGUCAAGCCUGGUCAGUAAAUGGAUGGGUGACCGCUUGGGAACGCCAGGUAUUGUAA